AAAAACAUGGCUCUUUGAAAUUUAUAUAUAAAGAGUCGGGCCUGCCCAGUGAUAAGAUUUAAACGGCCGCGGUACUCUGACCGUGCGAAGGUAGCAUAAUCAUUUGCCCUAUAAUUGAGGGCUUGUAUGAAUGGUUUGACAAGAGCAUAACUGUCUCCUUAAAAUUUUAUAAAAUUUGAUUUUUAGGUGAAGAAGCCUAAAUAUAAUUGAAAGACAAGAAGACCCUAUCGAGCUUUAGAGCAGUUAGUUAAGAAAUAUAAUUAAAAUAAUUAAUUUUAAUUUAAAACUUUGGUUGGGGCGACUGAGGAACAUAUAAAGCUUCCCUAAUUAAAAAAUGCUAAUAAGCUAUGAUCCAAAAGAUUUGAUUAAAAAAAUUAGUUACCGUAGGGAUAACAGCAUAAUCUUUUUUGAGAGCUCUUAUCGAAAAAAAGGUUUGUGACCUCGAUGUUGGACUAGGAUAUCCUAAAAGAUGCAGAAGUCUUUAAAGGUUGGUCUGUUCGACCAUUAACAUCCUACGUGAU
rnacentral:rRNA from 1 species